rnacentral:lncRNA from 1 species
UUCUACCCUCUUCUACCUUAUAUUUGAUAUUUAAAUAAAAAUAUUCUUUAUUUAAAAUAUAAAAGUAAAUUAUAUAAAAUAUAUAAUUUAUAUUUAUUUCUCGUUAUAUAUUUUGCAUUUUAUUUGUUAUGUAUUUACAUUUUAUUUGUUUUUAAAUUGUUUAGGUGGCCGGUUCCGAGGGCUCGUCAAAUCACAAAACAAGACGGCAGGGAUAAAAUAACAGUAUCAUUAUGUGGCGAGAUGGAGAUGGACUUUUUUUAUUUUUGUUCACUUUAUGGACUUUUAGUAUAAAUUCUUUUUUAUUUAAAAAUAUUAUGAUUUUAUGUUUUCUGAUUAUAUUUGGUAUGUUAUUUAAUGACUCCGCCGUUUAUUAUUUUAAGUUUGCUUGGAUAUUUGAUGUGUCGGAAAUGUUUAAAAUUAGGUAGGAUUACUUGGUGAUUUUUUUAAUUCUAAUUGUAUGGUAAUGUUCCUUAUCUAAUUUUGUUAAUAAUAAUACCACUAUAAAUAUUUAAAUAGUUUAUUAAUAUGAAUAUUAAUAUUUUCUUGGAGCUAUAGUUUGGAGCGUAGGUGUUUAUCUAUCAUGUUGGGCUGGAAUUUUUUAAUCUGGCAGGCUCUAUCAGUUGGGUUUAAUUCUUUGUCAUAUAAAUUUUUUAAAUUUGUUUGAAAUAAUAUGAGAUUAAAAUCUUAUUAUGUUAAUUGAUAUUUUUAGGAGUAAUAUGUCGUAUCCUUAUCCUAUGCUAUAGGCAUGACACGUCCCACAUGGAGCUAUGCCAUGCCAAUAUGCUUAUUCAUCGAGGGUCUGCAGCCAUCUGCUCCUUAAUUAACUUUGCAUUUUCUCUCUCUCUCCUAGACCGAGUGUGCGCAAGGUGAGUCGGGUGAGUUCGUCGCGACUGUGUGGGCUCCGCGUGAGCCGUUCGAGCGCAAGCGUUUUGUCGUAUUGGUGCUGUGAGGAGCUGGGCGGGCGGGUGGAUUUCCGUCGUCUCGACUUUGCGCCACUUCUUGAGGAUCUAUGAGAGUGAGUGGCUCUGUGAAUUGCUGCGCAUACUUCGGAUAUUCAGUCAAUUCGAACUAAGUACUGAUUCGGCAGGAUCUGUCGUCGGACUUGUUAGUAUUCCAGCUCGUACGCGACGUAGGAGCAUACGGAUUUCGACGAGAUUUGGUUCGUUGAAACCGGAGAUUCGAACGAAUCCAUAGGAUCCUUACUCGCCCGAUUUGGAGAAGAGUUUGCUCUGUCGAAAUCCCUUUUUACUGACGUUACGUGUUUGCCGAGCAGAUUUCAGAGAUGCUGUUUCGCAGUUCCAGCUGUCGACGUUUCGUAUUCUGGCCGUUCUCUGCGUAGGAGCGUCGGAAGUCAGCGAAACCUGGACCAUUGGAUUCGUGACUUUGAGAACGAAGACUUCGAACCCUUGUUUGCUGAAUUUGGAUAAGGUUAGCUUGGUCGGAUUUAAUGCUUUCUUCGCUGCUGUUUUCUGGGCAGAUUUGCGUGAUUUUGAGUGUAAUUGAUGUUUACUUCUUCGCAGCAGGAGAACGGGACUUCGACAGACCAGCGAGGGAUCAUUUUUGGAUCCGGCGCCCUUCUUCGCUGCCAGGAGUUGCUUGAGAGGUGGUUACAUCGGUUUUUACUCCUAAGUUCAUAUUCUGUCGGCAUGUAUAAUUUUCGACUGUUGAUACUCUAUUCUAGCUCGAAUUCAUGCCGACUCUCCACUUUGUAGCACGCCUUCGUAAAUCUGAAUUUGGAGCAUGUGGUACAUAAAUUAAGUAGGUUAUACAUGUUGGACUUGGAAAUUGAAUUAGGAGAAAACCUGCGAUUUGGACCUGUCACUUGUUUAAACUGCCUGAUUUAGCUCUAGGAGCCGUUAUUAAAUUGUACUGUCGCAGUAUCUUCGAGACGAGUACUCCAGGUAGUUUAGAUUACAUUUACGCUCGUGCUGGUGCGCCGAGUGGAUUUUUACAGGAUCGUUCAGGUUGUUCCGGACUGGUGGGUGCCGUCAGAGUUGACGGUGGACCCGUAUCGCCUUUUUGGCGUCAGAUUGUGCCGAGGGCACAUUACCUGUUGGUGGUUAGACCAGUUUGAGUCGGUUACUUGACUUUGGCUUUUCAGAGCCUGUUUGAGUUCGACAGAGAUACGCUGCAUACUCGGUUGGGUAGCGCCCACGAGUGCCACUCCGGAGUCAGGCUUGUGCUUUCGCGUUGGUGUCGCUCAUGCCAGUUGGACUUGCUCUCCACGGACCAGUUAGUGUGGAGGUAGCUGGACAGUCACAACGGGGCAGGGACGGGUGUAUUCACAGUCCCCGGGACGGGUAUGUUUACAGUCCCGAUUGGAUUGGGUCAAAUUGGACAAUUCCUGCAGUUGGUUAGUAUAGAGCAUGAUAGUGUAGUAAUUGAUAGCGGUAGAGUUUACUUCCUGCUUUUCUGACUACUCUUGCUCCCUUCUGUAGACUUAGUGGGUAGACCGAUGUUGUUUUGGGCGGCACCCACUGAGGACUACCUGUUUUUACAGUAGUUCUCACGCCCAGUUGUUACUCCUGUUUUGCAGAGCCACAGGUGCUGGCUGCUGCAUCUUCCGCCGACCAGGAUCGAGGCAAGGGCGUUGCGAGCUAGAGCCCUACCCGACAGUCAGAGCUAGAGGCUUUCCCCUACUGCAGGUAGUUGUUGUUUUGGAGUUUAUGUACAUAGUUGUUUAACUCGCCAAUGCGAGUAGCCUUGUAUUUUGGAUUCUAGCUAUGUAUAUGAAACUCAGUUAUUUAGUUUUUGAGCAGCUCUAUGCUACUGUUUGUAGUAUCGUAUUUUUUCAGGUACUUUGACGCUUCGUAUACAGGGAAAAUUCCUUUGUAUACGGCGGAUUUGUCGGCGUGCCCAGGGAACGAGAUAUCCGGGGCGUGACAAAUAUAAUAAAAUUUUGAAGUCUAAUUAUUUUUUUAACCACAGAUGGCGAUGGGCGAUAGCAAGAGGAGGGCUCUUUCACCCUUCUCCCUGUAUCGGCAGAGAUCUAUUCUUCCGCCUGUCCUUCCUAGUCCCCUACCGCCGCCUCCUAUCCUCCUUCCUACAGAAAGGUGUUGGCGGCAGGGGACGUGGCCCAAGUCGCGCCGCCGUGCGUUCGUUGCAACGGAGUUCGUGGGCAUCGCCAUCUCCAAACCCGAUAACGCGCACGAACACGCUGCGUUGUGAUCUCCGGGUCGGUCACCUUCCUGACCUAUCUCAUCACGCCCUGCGCCGCCCUGCAACGUGGUGACGCUUGCUGAAAGCCUUGCGGAGGCCUACCAAGCUCUCUUCUUGCCGGCGCCCCCCGACAGCAGCGUGGUGGUGGGGCAGGUGGUGCAGAAGCACAAGUUUGUGGAGCAGUGCUGCAACCUCUGCUGCCUCGCAACGCAUCUCGUGAUCGGACGUAGCGGGGAGCUUCGCGCGUUCCUGAGGUGGCCGAGGAGUCUUUAGCGGCGGAUGAUUUUGCGACGAGGCCCAAGGAGACUGUAGUAGCCGACAGGCAACAGGAGGGCUCAACUGCUCAAGCAGUCGGUGUUGAAGAUUGGGAAGGCGGCGGGCGGGCGGGCGGGCUGGCAAUCUCUUCUAAAAUUUUGUUUCUUAGUUUAAAAAUCAGUUUUCUAAAAUAUACCUCUCGAAAUCUAAUCUUUAUUUUGGAUUCAAACUUCAACUUUUUAUUUUGAUUUAGAAGAUAGAAUUUAAAUUUAAUUUUAAAAUAAAUAUUUAUAUUUUUAAAAUUUUAAUUUUAAUUUAUGUUUCAAAUAUUAANUUUUAGAUUUAUUCAUUUUUUUUAUUUAUUAUUUAUCAUAUUUUUAAAUGGCUACCUACUAUGUUCUGAUCGGUGGUGAAGUCUACUAGAUUCUCGCCGAGAGAACCUCAUUUAUAGGUUCAGUCGUAACCACAGCAUAUAUUCCUUACUUAAAAACUUACAUAAAAGGCACUACUCUUUCCUCCUUGCGAGACAUUUAUUUACUUAUAUUGAUUUACUAGUCGUUUUAUUAAGUCAGCUUUAUUUUAUUUCUAUUUAGAUCAAAUCAAAUCUUUAGUGUGGAUUCAGUUAAAGUACGGAGGUCCCCGAGUUUGGGUAGUAAGAAAGAAGGCUGCUGGCGAAUGGUUAUAAGUAUCACGGAUGUUUUUAUUAUAAAUUUUUUAUUUAUUUUUGAAUUAUUUCGUAGGUUUUUUUUUUUUUUUUGAUAUCCCGUGAGGAGUAUUGUGUUGAUGACGACGUCGCUCUCCUCUCGCGCUCUCUCUUCUCCUACGUCGCUCUCCUCUCGCGCUCUCUCUUCUCUCUUCUCCUACGUCGCUCUCCUCUCGCGCUCUCUCUUCUCUUAUGACGUCCUAAAAAGUUGUGACCGAUGUUCUUCUCGCGCUGUCUCUUCUCUUUAUGACGUCCCGAAAAGGCCGAUAUUCUUCUCGCGCUCUCUCUUCUCUUUAUGACGUCCCGAAAAGGCCGAUAUUCUUCUCGCGCUCUCUCUUCUCUUUAUGACGUCCCGAAAAGGCCGAUAUUCUUCUCGCGCUCUCUCUUCUCUUUAUGACGUCCCGAAAAGGCCGAUAUUCUUCUCGCGCUCUCUCUUCUCUUAUCCAGAGAGCUUUCCUGAAAGACGGGCUUUGGACAUUUUAAAUCACGAAAUUAUGUGGAACAUAGUUGAGUCUGAGUCUGAUCCUGAAGCUGAGCCCGAAGUUGAGACCAAGUUUAACAAAACUUGCCCAGGAGGGACUUUGUGUCAUAAGUGGACGCAAUUUGGGAUUGGUUUUGUAGGGAAUCGUAUUUAAUUUGGUUUAAGGUUAGUAUUUUAAAUUGAUUUUUAAAGUCGUUUUAAACUAUGAUAUUAAAUCUUGUAUUUAAACUUUUAACCUUUAAUUUUUUAACUUUGAAACUUUUAACCUUUAAUUUUGCUUUAUACUUAAAAAAAUUAAAGUUUAACGUUUAGAAUUUAAAUUUUAAAUUUUGGACUUUAAACUGUUAUUUUUUAAAGUUAAAGUUAAAAACUUUUAAACUUUAAAUAUUAAAAUUUUAAAUUUUAUAAUUUUAUAUUUUAAGUUUUAAAUUUUUAAUUUUAAAUAUGGAGUAUUAAACUUUUAAUUUCGAAUAAUAUAAACUUUAAUUUAUAGAUUUAAAAAUUAAAGUAUAAAAUUAUAAACUUUGUAUUUAAUUUUAAUUUUAAAAUUUUUAUAUUUAUAAAUAAAAUUUUAAUUUAAAUUUAAGAUAGAAGAUUUAGUUUUAUUUUUCAACUUCAUUCAUACCUGCUUGAACAAAUGAACAGCGCACUGAGGCCUAAUUGAAAAACGUGGAAUUUUAAGUAUACAAGAGAGAAGGAACCUUAACGAUAUAUGAUAUAAUCUUGCAAGGAUUGUAUACAGAUGUAAUUUAAAUUUAAUUUCGAUGACAUGCAUAAUAAUAAUUAGGAGUCAAAUUCAACUAGAGUUAUAAUUAGACUAUGUACGGAGCCAUUUAUAUAAUAUAAUAUACAUGUUCUGGCCUUCUUAAUGAAGCCGCAAUUUGAGAUCGUGCAAAUUAAUUUAGUCAAAACAAGGACAGGUCGUUCGGAUGAGCGUGGCAUGUGUAUAGGCGCUGUAUGGAGCGCUACACUGAAUAUAGUUUUGUUUUGAAUCUUUGCUCAGUUUUCUUUUGCUCGGUUAUGGGUGAAAUCAUAUAAAUGUUAGUAUUUUAGUAUUUUUUUUUUAUUUUGGUAUUAGUUAAAGUUUGCAUCUACUUUUUAUUGUUUUACCUCCUAACACUAUUUUUAGUUGACUAAUAAUUUUUUAAAAAUUUUUUUAGGUGGAGAAAUUAUUUUUUGUGCUUCCGGAACCAUCAUAGAAUGCAACAACAGCAGUAAUGACUUUUUUGAUGUGAUCAUAUUGACUACAGCUAGUUUACUGAGAUCCCAUGUUGAAGAUAAGAUAGUAGAAAAUAUACAGGUAGAUAAUAUGAAAUUUUAUUGUUAAUUUUAAUUUUAAUUUUUAUCUUCAUUAGGCAUGUGUUGUUUUAAUGUUUAUUUAUCCUUAAAUUUUCUUAAGAUAAUGGUGUACUUGUGGGAUGGGAAAUCGUACAAAGCGGAAGUUCUCGGAUACGACCCCUAUUUUAAUAUGGCGACUGUACGGAUUCGUUCAGAAGUUGCACUUAAAACUGCAGUACUAAGGAAGGUGGACGACUCAAUAUCGAUCAGUCCAACCGCAUAUGAUUCCAGGGAAGCUAUGGGACCAAUUCUUCGUCGACAUUCUAAAAAAUUUUGGCUUGUUCCGGGGGAUAAGGUCGUAGCCGUUGGACGGCAUCAUGAGCAGCAUAAUCUUAUGGUCGCUCCAGCCUUAUUUAGGUGAAAUUAAUACAUUAAUAUUUGAUUAUUAUAAAUUUAGCAUUUAUUUUAUUCUUUUUGAAUUUUCAGUAUAAAAGUUAGGAUAUAAUAAUUAUGCAUAUGCAAUUCGAAGACAUGUCUAGAGCUAAAUUAAUUGUAAUGUUUAAAAUUAGGCUUCAGAUUUUGUAUAGUUCUAUGUUUAUAUAUAUAAUUUUUUAAUUAACAAUUGAGUUUUUUUUCUUUCUCUUUAGUGCUGAUUGUUGUCGACUAGAUUGCAAGGAGCUUUUUAGGGCUAAUUGUAAAAUUACAAAGGUGAUUGCUUCUAUCUUUUGUUUGCACAUAAAUGUGCAUAGUCACAUAGGAAUUAAUACAUAUAUAUAUAUAUAUAUAUAUAUAUAUUUUUUGUAGUGUGGAAUUGGAGGGCCGCUGCUUAAUAUGGAUGGGGAGGUCAUAGGAAUUAACUUUAUUGGACAUUUAUGUACUCCAUUUUUGCCUAGUAAUGUGGUCUCUAUAUGGUGGAGACACUUUAAAAAAUAUGGGUAUUUUCUAAACCCUUUUAUAGUGUAAUUUUGUAAAUUUUUUCUUUGUGGAAACUUUAACAAAAGAAAUUUUUAUUAAAUUUUUAAUUAUUGGUUUCUUUCAGGGAAUUCUGUCGGCCAUGGUUAGGAAUUGAUGUAGCAAACUUAUAUUCGGGAGAAGUGGAUGUAUUGAAAAAUAUUGUUCGAAAAUUUCCUAACAUUUCAAGAGGCGUUAUUGUCGAGAAGGUAUUUAUUUUUGAUGAAUUGUUGAUUUUUAGAACUUGCUAAAAUUUGUGCAAUUUUAAAUUAUUUUGGAAGUGAAAAUAAAAAAUUAAGAUAAGUUUUUGGACACUAAAAUACAAUUUAGUACUCUACAAAAUAUUUUUAAUAAAUUAGGGCUGAACUUGGUUUUCAUUUUAAUGUUGAGAUAAAAUAAUUUUACUCAGCUUGUUAAUAUUUAAUUUUUUCUAUUUAUACAACUGUUGUAAAUAUUAUAUGCUAAAUUUGUUACAGGUUGAACUUGGUUCUCCUGCUUGUGUUGCUGGAAUUAUUUCUAAUGAUGUUAUUGUUCGAUGUGACGGAAAGAAAGUGAAAAGUUUUUUUAGAGGUGAGGUAUUUUUGUUGUUGUUGUUAUUAAUUCGUUAUCUGUAUUUUUAUAUCUGUGUAAUACUUAAAUUUUUUUUAAACUUAUCUAAAUAUUUUUUUUUUAUUUUUUUAAUGUUUCUUUUUAGUUUUUUAAAAAAAUUUAUCACAAGAUUGGAGAAAAAGUUGAGCUUGGGGGUGAUAAGACCAGAUGGUGCUUAUCUGACUGUUUCGAUCCUUGUCGACGUGGCUCCGCGAAUGAACAAGUAAAAUUUUUCUACCCUCUUCUACCUAUAUAUUUUGGAUAUUUAAAUAAAAAAUAUUCUUUAUUUAAAAAUAUAAAAGUAAAAUUAUAUAAAAAUAAUAAUUUAUAUUUAUUCUCGUUAUGUAUUUUGCAUUUUAUUUGUUAUGUAUUUUACAUUUUAUUUGUUUUUUAAUUGUUUAGGUGGCCGGUUCCGAGGGCUCGUCAAAUUCACAAAACAAGACGGCAGGGAUAAAUAACAGUAUCAUU